rnacentral:rRNA from 1 species
CCGCGGUAAUACGAAGGAUCCAAGCGUUGUCCGGAUUUACUGGGUUUAAAGGGUGCGUAGGCGGAUGCUUAAGCCAGUGGUGAAAUCUCUCAGCUCAACUGAGAAACUGCCAUUGGAACUGGGUAUCUUGAAUUCGAUUGAGGUAGAUGGAAUAUAACAUGUAGCGGUGAAAUGCUUAGAUAUGUUAUGGAACACCGAUUGCGAAGGCAGUCUACUAAGUCGACAUUGACGCUGAGGCACGAAAGCGUGGGUAGCGAACAGGAUUAGAUACCCUGGUAGUCCACGCCCUAAACGWUGAUUACUCGCUGUUGGCGAUACACUGUCAGCGGCUAAGCGAAAGCGUUAAGUAAUCCACCUGGGAAGUACGACCGCAAGGUUGAAACUCA